GUUACAAUACAUAUAUAGGUUCCACGUAACAGAGUCAGGUGAAACAUAGCUUCGAGAACAAAGUUCAAGACAUAGUAAUGAGCUACGAAACCAGCAACACAACUAGCAGCAUCCUUAAGAUAAUACAUAAAUUUUCUAAACGAGUGCUUCACCACCCCCUAACUGCCUCACUUUCUUCACACGCGGAAGACGAUCAGAGCAAUUCUCGCUUGGCCCUUCAGCUACCUCAGUGUAGCUCCUCUUUGUUGGUCUAGAAAAAAUUUCAGCCAAAGUCUUGACCUCAUUAAGAAACUGAGUUCUCCCUUCAGGUAAAAGCCUAAGUUUAACAAGGCAAUCCUUUAUUUCGCAACACGUGGGAAAAUCAAUCUUCUUUUGUGCAUCACCUGCUGCAGCUUCUGCUAAAUCUAUCAUCUUCACCACAUCAGCCUCAAACCACUGUAUUCUUUUUUUUUUUUUUUUAAGCCCGGUGCAUGUAGCUCCCGCUUGCGCAGGAUCCGGGGAAGGGUCCGACCACUUUGGGUCUAUAGUACGCAGUGUAUCAAAACACAAAAUAACAUUUUGUUUAUUAAUACCACUAAUUGAUAUAUUCCAAAAUAUUUUGUUGGAUACAAUAGCUUGUUCAGAAAUGAGCUGUAAUAACCUCAGUUGGACGCCAUUCUUCAAGAAAUAUUGGGGUCAGAAUCUUUGCCAUAGCUUCUGCAUACAGCCGGUCAUCCUUGAUAUGUGAACCAAUAUCAGGAACCAGCUUGUCACAGCUCUCACGUAUUGUCUUGGCAGAAUGCUUCAACCUUGUAUCACAUUGAUCCACUAAACCAAUAAGGUUUAUAAAGUUUCUAUCAACCUGCAUCAGAUCAACAAGAACAGGAACAAGAUUACAUCAACUUGCACAAGCUGCAAAGGAUAAUUCAAAGCAGAAAAAAUCAACACCAAAUGCAACAUAAACAAGCAUUACAAAUUAAAAUCCUGGAUGUUGUUGUAGACUGUAGUGAGUGAGGCAGAAGUAGAGACCUAAGAUCUGUUUUCUGUCAGCGUGUUUGGCCUCCUCAACCCCCUAUUCCCCAACCAAACAAUGCAUAAUAUUGUCUCGUACCUCUUAAAUUCCCAUUCCGUACCACUAGUUACCCACAACCAAACAGGCUGUCUAUGUCAUUGAGCCCAUUGUACAAGUUUGGUUUUGAAGAAAGGAGAGUAGGAUAAUGUAUAAACAAGCUAAGUGACCCAAUAUUACCUAUUAGUGUCAGCACUAGCAUCUGUACACAAAAGGCAUAACAAUUAGGCACAAUAGUAAGAGCAAAAGCAGAAAAAUGGAAGGGCGUACUCAAGAGAAGGGUACAACUGCAAGAAAAUUCAGUUUUUACUGCUUCUGUAGGAAUAUUGAUUUCAUAUUUAUCCAUGCAGUCUCUCAAUCCUUUGGAUAAUGGAAGAAGAUACUCGCGAGUGAUGUUGCAUCUUUCUAUACGUACAAAAUCAUACAGCACAUUCCUUAACCCCCACAUCAGUUCAUGAAUAACUUCUUUGUCGUCAAAGCAAUCAAUUUUCUAGCAAAAAAAAUUGUUACUGAUACGUUAGCAGUGACCACUCCUCAAGAAAAGACACAGACGAACUACUACAGACAUUUACUGACCAGUUUGGAUUUGAUGGCAUCUUUAAGGUCUUCAUUCCCAACAAUUAACCGUCUUCCAUCAGAACAGCACUUUCUGAUUGUAUCAGCAAGCCUCUUACCAGGACCAGCAUCAAGCACAACAGACUUGUGAUCAACCUUUACGAACUCACGCAAACAAAUAACCUGGUAAGAAAGUAACAACGUGUUAUUAGAGAGAAAAGUCAUAAAUGAAGCACAGAGUGUUAUUAGAGCGUGUCGUAUCAGUAACAGAGUGCUAUUAGAGCGAAUUUUAUCAACAGAUUACAUCAUCAUUAUUAUAUUACGGUUUGAGAUGGUUACAUCAUCGUUAUUUUGCUGCGUAAGAUAAUCUGGAUGUACUCUUUAAUGACAGUGAUAGCCAAGACAAAACAAAAAUUAAAACAAGCACAUACAUGGAUUAUGAUCAGUCAUGAGUGCAAAGCAAAUAAGAGAGCACAACCAAAGAAAAUGCUAAUAUAAACAUUGUAGAAUCAGAAAUACUAACAUCUAUGGCAAAGCUCCUCCUGAUAAACCAAGACCACAGACUCUGUGCAAAUAACAAAGUGAAGGUUCAUAAGAAACAGAAUUCAAGUGACUGACAUGAAAGUACGGUUUGGAAAUGGUUGCACACAAACCUCUAGUCCAUAAAUUGCAGUUUCACAAACACUGAAGAAGGCAAAACCCGUCGGAGUCUCCAGUACCGCAGUCGAAACAAAACCCAGUGCCAUCACUUUUCUGGUCCUGCUCAACAGAACACAACAAUUGGUUGACACACUACUAGGAAAAGGGCUAUAGAUCAUAUGGACACUAAUGGCGCACCAGACAUGUGGUGCGCCAUUAGUGGCCAUAUUACUAAUGGCGCACCUGGUGUGUGGUACGCCAUUACUAGUUUUGUCUUGGCCCCACACCCCUCCCCAGACUUAGCAGUGGCGCACGAGGGGAAAGUGCGCCAUUACUAGUUUUAUAACUAGUAAUGGCGCACCAGUAAGAGAUGCGCCAUUGCUAUCUAUACGUAUGGCGCACCCCCUACCGGCGCGCCAUUGCUAUGACCCCUUAUCCCCUCCCUCUAGUCACGUUCUCUCCCCUCCCCUUCCUCCUGACACAGCCACCCGCCUCUCCUCCGGCUCUGACCCAACGCCGCCGCCGAUCUCCUCUUCUGCAUCACCUCUCCGGCGGCCUCCUCUCCCCAUCCAGGCCGCGCCGGCGACCUCCCUAUCCUCUCCUUUGUCUGCCUGGUCGGGCCGAGACCCUAGCCCGAUGCCAUGGAGACCAUGGCAGCAGGAGGAGCCCGGUCAUGGCGGCCUCCUCUCCCUGCAGCGCCGCGGCACCUCACCUUCUCUUCUCUUCUCUACUCUUCUCUCCCAGUAGAGGAGAGGAGGGGAGGGAAGGGAAGGCCUUCUCCGGUGAGCAUCCAGGGAGGUGAGGAGCGCCCAGAUCCAGAUCCACGGCGCAUCGUCCCGUCGUCGACCUGAGCCACGACCAUCCAUGCAGGGCCGACAAAAGCCAGGACGGAGAUGCCAGAAACCCUAGCCUAGCCUAGCCAUGGAGGUAUGACGCCUCAACCUCCGGCGACAAACGACGGCUGCAGGCCAUCUCCGGCGACGGAUCUCCGCCCCCGACCAUGGUGCGUGUGGCUGCAGGCCAUCUUCUUCAUCUCCCCUCCCCUCCCCUCAUUGGUUCGUUUUAUGUGCAAGGCAGGCUGCUCCGGACGAGCUGCUGCUGCUGCUGCAGGUGCACGACGCAUGGCUGCUCCCUCCUCCUCUGCCUACUGCAGGUGGACAUGGUGAGCACAUCUUAUCUAGCUUGCCAAUUUGAUUGAUUGCAAUUCUUCUUUCUGGUGGUGUUGAUUGACAUUGUGCAGUUCAGUUCCGUUUCAAUCUGAAUGCACCUAUCGGUCUCUUCCUCCUCGCUUUUGCAUCUCCAUGCCCAGAUUCGGGCUUAAUUAAUUCCAUUGCCUGCUAUUUAUGGACGGAUUGUUAGGUUAGAUUGCUCACUAUAUCCAUCUCAUCAUGUCUCCUGAAUGAAUAAAUGAAUGAAUGAAUGAGCACUUUAAUUGAUGCUUGCUGGUUGGAUGGAUGGAUGUCGUACAUGGCAUGCUUUUGGGUUAAUUUGUCCGUCAAAUUGAUCUAUUGGCCCGCUUGGUUCAAUUUAUCUGAUGCCACAAGUGGCGUCAUUUUUAUUCUGUAUGGACUGCCAUUAUAAUGUACGUACAUGCCACUGAACAUUCAGUCUUUACUUGUGUGUAAGACCAGACUUUCUUCCGUUGUCAACGCAACUUGACGCAAGACUAGUGCCUUGGUCGCUUGCUCCGGUGUGGUGCAGCCGAGCUGGGCCAACGGCCAUGCCGUGUACGAGGGCAUACUCCCCUCCGACAAGACGGCUCCUAGCUCGGGUAAGCAGCAGCACCCCCAUGGUCGUUUUAGUUUUCAGAGAGCCCUUUUUUGUGUGUCAGCUGAUGAUGCCUUCAUUCUCUUGUCCAUUGAGGAUCCUCAACAGGCAAGAACAUGUUCCACCGCCGGUCUGAAACUCGUCCCAACUGGGCAAGGGAUUCUCUCACUACCUUCUAAUUAAGUGAGUAGUCAACAUCUUCAGGGCCCUUUACUCUGCUUUCUUUCUACUUCAAGCAAGGAGAUGAUUUAUAUGCAUCUAAACAAGUAGUUGUCGCUGCACUGCUAUAACAAUCAAUGUACAUGCAUAGCUCUAAGCUCUAGCCUAGUGCGCUACACUGCCUCUGUUUGUCAACAUGCUGAAUAUAUGAACCCAGAAAAUUUUAGAACUUCUCUGUAAAAAUUGGUUGCUAGCUCUGUAUCUCGGCCCCUUCUCAUUUGUUUGUUUGAUUUGGAUGGAGUAGGAGUCAUCCAUGGACGACAUCAAUGAUGAGGUCUUGGUCUUGUAUGAUGCGUGUGUGGACAGUGUUGGUCUAUUCAUACGCUAGGGUGUGGCCUGAUGAGGUCUUGGUCUAGUAUGAUGCAUGUGUGGACAGUGUUGGUCACUUACUAGCUAUGGUUCUUUUACUGCUGGACAGUGUUAUUUCAAUUUGUACCCCAUCCAAGCCGCUCACUGUUUUCGUUACCUUAUUGCUACUGGAUGCAGAAAAAUGUGUAAGCUUUAUAUGUCAAAAGGUCAUGCAUUUACUCAUGAAGCAUUUCUUGCAAAUGGAAGAUUUUGGUGUCCAUGAUUAGUGACGAUCCUCAAGUAGGAUGAAUUUUAGUUUUGAAGUGUCUCAUAUUUACUUUUGUUAAGUUGUGAUGAUAUAGUGCUUAAUCUGAGCAUGUUCCACGUAAUGCAAUGGACUGUUCCAAGGGCUGGGCGCUGCUGCAAGGCCCAUCUUUAUCUUUGCUCUUGCGCAUGAUGGAUGGUUAAGGACAAGUUAAGUAGGUCAUUUCGCGACCAAAUGAAUGGUCUUCCAGUUUGGUAUCUCUAAAUGAUGAUUACAUAUUAGCAUGUUCUUCAGUUUGGGAUAUACAUUUAUGUGUAAUAGUGAAUUAUGUCUUGGAAGGCAUGUUACUUAUUUCCUGUUGAUUCAUUGGACAUCGCAUGACAAUCUCUAAGAAGGUUGUCCCUUUACUGCUCAAUCAUUUCUUGCACGAUUUUGUUGUCGAUGAUUAGUGUUGAACCUCAUAUGUCCUCCGCAAUUCAUUUCCAUUAUAAUCUUACUCAUACAAUAUUCACACCAUGUAAUUCUGGAAAAGACAAUAUUGACAUGUUAUAAAAAAAUGACAGUAUUGACAUGUUAUAAAUAGUUUGUUUGUAUUUCUGUUUGUAUUUUUGUAUUUUUGUUACAUUUUGCAGGGAUAAAGUGAAGAAAAAGAAGAAAAGAUUACUAGAAGAUUAGUUUUAGGAUUUUGUUUUAUUUCCUUGCAAUUUUCCUUUUAUUGGAUACUUGUAAAGACAUUGUAAUAUUCUUACUAUAAUAAAAAAUAUGAUUCUAUUUCAUUUUUUGUUUUUAAAUUAUUUUCCUUAUAGGUUGUUUUCUGUAAAUUUGGAUUUUUUUUUUGUUUUCCAAAUACAUUACUUGUGGCGCAUCAUCAACUAGUGCGCCAUUAGUAAGCCAGAGCACAUGGGUUCAUAUGGCCCCCUGGGAGGCAUUCUAAUGGCGCACUGUGGGCUAUACUAAUGGCGCACUACGUGGUGCGCCAUUAGAACACCAGAUACUAAUGGUGCACCAGUGGUGCGCCAUUAGAAUUUAAUUCUAAUGGCGUGAUGCUAGUGGCGCACCAGUAGUGCGCCAUUAGAAGGCAAAACUGGUGCGCCAGUAGCAUGCCUUUUCCUAGUAGUGACAUAACUGAAUAUAACAGAAAAAAGAAGGAAAAUCACACGAACACAAAUAUGUUCUAUGCCCCGAAUCUUGAUAGAUUCAGGGAUGUGCUGCCCACCUAGGAAAACCCUAGUUGGUCCUCUUUUCCUUAAGUAGGGCAACUACCUAAUGAUGUGAACAAAACCGAAAACAAAUCCAACAUGGUUACUAAACGCACACUCAAAUAGGGGUAACCAGCUACCACAGUGGUGUUACCAUAUUAAGAUAGAACAAACUAAAAUCAGUGGAAUUUGCUCAUGGGAUGUUAUUGACUAGAUAGACAAAUCAAAAGAUCCAGGUAGGAACAGGACGUAAUAAAUCCAGUAUAAAGCUACUUGCUUGCAUGGAUCCCUCAUUCCACAACUGUUUCCAACCACAAGAAAUCAUUUUAGAUCUAGAUCCAUGCCACCAAGAAUCAAUAGCAAAAUAAGGACCCAUUACUAGUCAAGGAGCCGCUAAGGGGAGCCUGCGUAGAGGGGAAGGAAUGCAGGUGCAUGCGCGCGCAGGUGCAACGCAUGAAUAUAUACCUCGGCGGCGGCGG
rnacentral:lncRNA from 1 species